rnacentral:rRNA from 1 species
UUUAUGGAGAGUUUGAUCCUGGCUCAGGAUGAACGCUGGCGGCGUGCCUAAUACAUGCAAGUCGAGCGAACGGACGAGAAGCUUGCUUCUCUGAUGUUAGCGGCGGACGGGUGAGUAACACGUGGAUAACCUACCUAUAAGACUGGGAUAACUUCGGGAAACCGGAGCUAAUACCGGAUAAUAUUUUGAACCGCAUGGUUCAAAAGUGAAAGACGGUCUUGCUGUCACUUAUAGAUGGAUCCGCGCUGCAUUAGCUAGUUGGUAAGGUAACGGCUUACCAAGGCAACGAUGCAUAGCCGACCUGAGAGGGUGAUCGGCCACACUGGAACUGAGACACGGUCCAGACUCCUACGGGAGGCAGCAGUAGGGAAUCUUCCGCAAUGGGCGAAAGCCUGACGGAGCAACGCCGCGUGAGUGAUGAAGGUCUUUGGAUCGUAAAACUCUGUUAUUAGGGAAGAACAUAUGUGUAAGUAACUGUGCACAUCUUGACGGUACCUAAUCAGAAAGCCACGGCUAACUACGUGCCAGCAGCCGCGGUAAUACGUAGGUGGCAAGCGUUAUCCGGAAUUAUUGGGCGUAAAGCGCGCGUAGGCGGUUUUUUAAGUCUGAUGUGAAAGCCCACGGCUCAACCGUGGAGGGUCAUUGGAAACUGGAAAACUUGAGUGCAGAAGAGGAAAGUGGAAUUCCAUGUGUAGCGGUGAAAUGCGCAGAGAUAUGGAGGAACACCAGUGGCGAAGGCGACUUUCUGGUCUGUAACUGACGCUGAUGUGCGAAAGCGUGGGGAUCAAACAGGAUUAGAUACCCUGGUAGUCCACGCCGUAAACGAUGAGUGCUAAGUGUUAGGGGGUUUCCGCCCCUUAGUGCUGCAGCUAACGCAUUAAGCACUCCGCCUGGGGAGUACGACCGCAAGGUUGAAACUCAAAGGAAUUGACGGGGACCCGCACAAGCGGUGGAGCAUGUGGUUUAAUUCGAAGCAACGCGAAGAACCUUACCAAAUCUUGACAUCCUUUGACAACUCUAGAGAUAGAGCCUUCCCCUUCGGGGGGCAAAGUGACAGGUGGUGCAUGGUUGUCGUCAGCUCGUGUCGUGAGAUGUUGGGUUAAGUCCCGCAACGAGCGCAACCCUUAAGCUUAGUUGCCAUCAUUAAGUUGGGCACUCUAAGUUGACUGCCGGUGACAAACCGGAGGAAGGUGGGGAUGACGUCAAAUCAUCAUGCCCCUUAUGAUUUGGGCUACACACGUGCUACAAUGGACAAUACAAAGGGCAGCGAAACCGCGAGGUCAAGCAAAUCCCAUAAAGUUGUUCUCAGUUCGGAUUGUAGUCUGCAACUCGACUACAUGAAGCUGGAAUCGCUAGUAAUCGUAGAUCAGCAUGCUACGGUGAAUACGUUCCCGGGUCUUGUACACACCGCCCGUCACACCACGAGAGUUUGUAACACCCGAAGCCGGUGGAGUAACCUUUUAGGAGCUAGCCGUCGAAGGUGGGACAAAUGAUUGGGGUGAAGUCGUAACAAGGUAGCCGUAUCGGAAGGUGCGGCUGGAUCACCUCCUUU